rnacentral:rRNA from 1 species
GACGUAGGGCGCGAGCGUUGUCCGGAUUUAUUGGGCGUAAAGAGCUCGUAGGCGGUUUGUCGCGUCGUUCGUGAAAACUCACAGCUUAACUGUGAGCUUGCGGUCGAUACGGGCAGGCUAGAGUUCGGUAGGGGAGACUGGAAUUCCUGGUGUAGCGGUGAAAUGCGCAGAUAUCAGGAGGAACACCGGUGGCGAAGGCGGGUCUCUGGGCCGAUACUGACGCUGAGGAGCGAAAGCGUGGGGAGCAAACAGG